AUGAACGCUGGCGGCGUGCCUCAUACAUGCAAGUCGAGCGAACGGACGAGGAGCUUGCUUCUCUGAUGUUAGCGGCGGACGGGUGAGUAACACGUGGAUAACCUACCUAUAAGACUGGGAUAACUUCGGGAAACCGGAGCUAAUACCGGAUAAUAUUUUGAACCGCAUGGUUCAAAAGUGAAAGACGGUCUUGCUGUCACUUAUAGAUGGAUCCGCGCUGCAUUAGCUAGUUGGUAAGGUAACGGCUUACCAAGGCAACGAUGCAUAGCCGACCUGAGAGGGUGAUCGGCCACACUGGAACUGAGACACGGUCCAGACUCCUACGGGAGGCAGCAGUAGGGAAUCUUCCGCAAUGGGCGAAAGCCUGACGGAGCAACGCCGCGUGAGUGAUGAAGGUCUUCGGAUCGUAAAACUCUGUUAUUAGGGAAGAACAUAUGUGUAAGUAACUGUGCACAUCUUGACGGUACCUAAUCAGAAAGCCACGGCUAACUACGUG
rnacentral:rRNA from 1 species